GGUAGUCCACGCCGUAAACGAUGUCGACUUGGAGGUUGUGCCCUUGAGGCGUGGCUUCCGGAGCUAACGCGUUAAGUCGACCGCCUGGGGAGUACGGCCGCAAGGUUAAAACUCAAAUGAAUUGACGGGGGCCCGCACAAGCGGUGGAGCAUGUGGUUUAAUUCGAUGCAACGCGAAGAACCUUACCUACUCUUGACAUCCAGAGAACUUAGCAGAGAUGCUUUGGUGCCUUCGGGAACUCUGAGACAGGUGCUGCAUGGCUGUCGUCAGCUCGUGUUGUGAAAUGUUGGGUUAAGUCCCGCAACGAGCGCAACCCUUAUCCUUUGUUGCCAGCGGUUAGGCCGGGAACUCAAAGGAGACUGCCAGUGAUAAACUGGAGGAAGGUGGGGAUGACGUCAAGUCAUCAUGGCCCUUACGAGUAGGGCUACACACGUGCUACAAUGGCGCAUACAAAGAGAAGCGACCUCGCGAGAGCAAGCGGACCUCAUAAAGUGCGUCGUAGUCCGGAUUGGAGUCUGCAACUCGACUCCAUGAAGUCGGAAUCGCUAGUAAUCGUAGAUCGGAAUGCUACGGUGAAUACGUUCCCGGGCCUUGUACACACCGCCCGUCACACCAUGGGAGUGGGUUGCAAAAGAAGUAGGUAGCUUAACCUUCGGGAGGGCGCUUACCACUUUGUGAUUCAUGACUGGGGUGAAGUCGUAACAAGGUAACCGUAGGGGAACCUGC
rnacentral:rRNA from 1 species